GGGACCAAGUACGGGAAAAAUAUCCGAAAUGACAUAAGCAUGUCAAAAACUACAGGAAUAACAAGACGAAUAUUGAAUUUCGUGAGACAGUCUUGGAGAAAAAAUCCAACAUUGGAAACUUGUUCGAAAGGAGAAGAUCAUCUUGGAAACAAAUACUUCGAAUUGCCCGCAGACAGAGAAAAGUUAGGAAGAGGAAGAAGAUGGGUGGAGGCAAAAGAGAAAGUUGGAGCAGAUGAUACCCUUUCUGAUAUCCCUACAGAAUGGACCUGUAAUAUAUGAACAUGGCUACGGUUUACACGAAAAGAGCCACCAACACAAGAGGAAAUUGAUAGAAAUUAUGUACUGAUGAUGAGAACUCAACACAGAGCCAAAGAAAUUGAAAUGAAGGAUAGAUUGAAAAAGGAAUCUGAAAAUCCAGAAGGGGAUGGUGUAACAAAGUCAAUACACGGAAAAUCAAAUAAGUUUCCUGUUUAUGAAGAAUAUGAUACACAGCCAGGGCGUAUGAAGAGAUGACGAAGAACAAUUAUUACGAUUAGACUUAAUACAUACUCUUGUUUUGAUUAUGAUGUACAUAUAAUUAAGAAUUAAACUGUUUAUAAUUGUU